rnacentral:lncRNA from 1 species
CAAACUAAAACAAGCUUCUACCUCCCUUGUUGGUUGUUCUUCAGGUUGAAUGAAUCGUCACACCAAGACCAAGAUAGACCUUCCUUGUGUUUAAUAGAAAAGCAUGGCCAAUCUUCAUACCUCGUGUAGCCUCGCCCGGAGAUCAGAAUUUUGGGUGGCGACAAAGCAGUGCUCCCAGGAUUUUUAUCUUAUCCGUAGCCUCCCGUAGCCACUGCAUCGACCACUUUGUCAUCGUCGCAACUGAACACACAAAUAAAAUUCCAGAUAAAAAACAAUCCGAGCUUCUUCUCCAUGUAACGAUAACGUAAAACUAUCAUCACUGAAUGUAGUAUUAGUAUGAAUACACUCAACACACAAUAGAAGUCCAUUGAACAAUCAGUGAUUCAAACUCGUGUAAAACUAUAGUAAAGCUACCAUUCAUGGAUGACUAAACAUGGUAGUAGUACUUCAUACAAUCAAACCGACAAAAUAGCAAGCGCUAGGCUCUACUACCUCCUUUCGAAAAUGACUUGUCGCUCAAACGGAUGUAUCUAGUGCUAGAUACAUCCAUUCGAGCGACAAGUGAUUCCGGGCGGAGUGAGUAUGAUUUAGGAAUAGACACGAUCUCUAUGGUGCGAAUCCAUGCUAAACAAGGCAAAAAAUAAUACAAAUUCAGUUUCACAAAAGUAUCAACUCUGAACCUUUGAUACAUCAUGGCAUGUGAUCUAUAUCUUCAGGAAAGGGGCAAAUUUUAGUACACCAAACGCCCUGUAUCUCAACAGCCAGUGCAUUUUCUUUGUGCGCAAAGUAACUUUGGUGGGAACUUAACUAACCUUGUAAGCACCAGUUAAAGCAUGGAACCAAUGCAUGUCACCCUAAUUAAAUUAACUAUGUAAACAGUAGGGGAACUCAUAGCUGUUAGACUAUCAUGGCCAAAAGAUUGACAGCCACCAUCACAAGCUACCAACCACGGUUCGAUGGCUGGCAAGAAGAGGGGUCAUAGCUCCAAGGCUAUGUCCCAGAGCAAGUGGAACAAAGGCGAGGAGCUAGGAAAACUGGGAACUUACCAGCCGAGGCCGUAAAGCAACGCCGCUAAGGCGUCAUAGUAGAGGCGACGUGCACCAAACCAAGCCUUCAACCUUGCACGCAUGGGCGCCCAACAACCGUCGCCGGAGACCACGAGGGCGACCACCAAGUCGCACCGAUGAGAUCCAUAGGUCUGCAUGCAUGUCAAGGGUGAAUGCCAGGACCAACAUGUUCAAUACAUCAAGAUUAGUUGCUAUAAAACAUGAGCAUCAUGUUGACUCCAGGAGCAAACCAAAAGACGACCAACAGUAGGAAAAAUAUUAUCAUCGCUAAAAGCAUGACAAUUCACAUCACAGAAUCAACCAUGGCUCCAUGGCCGGCAUGAAGAGGGGGCCAUAGCUUGAAAGAUAUGUCACAGAGCUAAG